AUUGAACGCUGGCGGCAGGCCUAACACAUGCAAGUCGAGCGAGCGGCGGACGGGUGAGUAAUGUCUGGGAAACUGCCUGAUGGAGGGGGAUAACAACAGGAAACGGUAGCUAAUACCGCAUACCAUCAGAUUUUCCCAGAUGGGAUUAGCUAGUAGGUGGGGUAACGGCUCACCUAGGCGACGAGCCCUAGCUGGUCUGAGAGGAUGACCAGCCACACUGGAACUGAGACACGGUCCAGACUCCUACGGGAGGCAGCAGGGGGGAAUAUGGCACAAUGGGCGCAAGCCUGAUGCAGCCAUGCCGCGUGUGUGAAGAAGGCCUUCGGGUUGUAAAGCACUUUCAGCGGGGAGGCGUUACCCGCAGAAGAAGCACCGGCUAACUCCGUGCCAGCAGCCGCGGUAAUAC
rnacentral:rRNA from 1 species